rnacentral:rRNA from 1 species
UAGUCAUAUGCUUGUCUCAAAGAUUAAGCCAUGCAUGUCUAAGCACAAGCCGAUUAAUGGUGAAGCCGCGAAUGGCUCAUUACAACAGCCAUAGUUUCUUAGAUCUUACUUUUCUACUUGGAUAACUGUGGUAAUUCUAGAGCUAAUACACGCAAACAAGCUCAGACCUUACGGAAUGAGCGCAUUUAUUAGAACAAAAACCAAUCGGGCUUCGGUCCGUCAUUUGGUGAAUCUGAAUAACUUUGCUGAUCGCACGGUCUUCGUACCGGCGACAUAUCUUUCAAAUGUCUGCCUUAUCAACUUUCGAUGGUAGUUUAUGCGCCUACCAUGGUUGUAACGGGUAACGGAGAAUAAGGGUUCGACUCCGGAGAGGGAGCCUGAGAAACGGCUACCACAUCCAAGGAAGGCAGCAGGCACGCAAAUUACCCACUCCCGGCACGGGGAGGUAGUGACGAAAAAUAUCGAGACGGCUCGCUAUGCGGUCCGUCAUCGGAAUGGGUACAAUUUAAAUCCUUUAACGAGGAUCUAUU